UACGGAGGGUGCAAGCGUUGUUCGGAAUUACUGGGCGUAAAGGGCGCGUAGGCGGGAUGGCAAGUCGGUCGUGAAAUCCCUCGGCUCAACCGAGGAACGUCGAUCGAUACUGCUGUUCUUGAGGAUUGCAGAGGAGACUGGAAUUCCCGGUGUAGCGGUGAAAUGUGUAGAGAUCGGGAGGAACACCGGUGGCGAAGGCGGGUCUCUGGGCAAUUCCUGACGCUGAGGCGCGAAAGCGUGGGGAGCAAACGGG
rnacentral:rRNA from 1 species